rnacentral:rRNA from 1 species
GACGAACGCUGGCGGCGUGCUUAACACAUGCAAGUCGAACGGAAAGGCCCUGCUUUUGUGGGGUGCUCGAGUGGCGAACGGGUGAGUAACACGUGAGUAACCUGCCCUUGACUUUGGGAUAACUUCAGGAAACUGGGGCUAAUACCGGAUAGGAGCUCCUGCUGCAUGGUGGGGGUUGGAAAGUUUCGGCGGUUGGGGAUGGACUCGCGGCUUAUCAGCUUGUUGGUGGGGUAGUGGCUUACCAAGGCUUUGACGGGUAGCCGGCCUGAGAGGGUGACCGGCCACCUUGGGACUGAGGUACGGCCCAGACUCCUACGGGAGGGAGCAGUGGGGAAUAUUGCACAAUGGGCGGAAGCCUGAUGCAGCAACGCCGCGUGCGGGAUGACGGCCUUCGGGUUGUAAACCGCUUUCGCCUGUGACGAAGCGUGAGUGACGGUAAUGGGUAAAGAAGCACCGGCUAACUACGUG